rnacentral:rRNA from 1 species
AUUGAACGCUGGCGGCAGGCCUAACACAUGCAAGUCGAACGGUAACAGGAAACAGCUUGCUGUUUCGCUGACGAGUGGCGGACGGGUGAGUCAUGUCUGGGAAACUGCCUGAUGGAGGGGGAUAACUACUGGAAACGGUAGCUAAUACCGCAUAACGUCGCAAGACCAAAGAGGGGUACCUUCGGGCCUCUUGCCAUCGGAUGUGCCCAGAUGGGAUUAGCUAGUAGGUGGGGUAACGGCUCACCUAGGCGACGAUCCCUAGCUGGUCUGAGAGGAUGACCAGCCACACUGGAACUGAGACACGGUCCAGACUCCUACGGGAGGCAGCAGUGGGGAAUAUUGCGCAAUGGGCGCAAGCCUGAUGCAGCCAUGCCGCGUGUAUGAAGAAGGCCUUCGGGUUGUAAAGUACUUUCAGCGGGGAGGAAGGGAGUAAAGUUAAUACCUUUACUCAUUGACGUUACCCGCAGAAGAAGCACCGGCUAACUCCGUG